rnacentral:rRNA from 1 species
ACUCCUACGGGAGGCAGCAGUGGGGAAUAUUGCACAAUGGGCGCAAGCCUGAUGCAGCCAUGCCGCGUGUGUGAAGAAGGCCUUCGGUUGUAAAGCACUUUCAGUUGUGAGGAAGGUGGUGUCGUUAAUAGCGGCAUCAUUUGACGUUAGCAACAGAAGAAGCACCGGCUAACUCCGUGCCAGCAGCCGCGGUAAUACGGAGGGUGCGAGCGUUAAUCGGAAUUACUGGGCGUAAAGCGCAUGCAGGCGGCCUGUUAAGUCAGAUGUGAAAGCCCGGGGCUUAACCUCGGAAUUGCAUUUGAAACUGGCAGGCUAGAGUCUUGUAGAGGGGGUAGAAUUUCAGGUGUAGCGGUGAAAUGCGUAGAGAUCUGAAGGAAUACCAGUGGCGAAGGCGGCCCCCUGGACAAAGACUGACGCUCAGAUGCGAAAGCGUGGGGAGCAAACAGGAUUAGAUACCCUGGUAGCACAGAG